AGAGAAUCACUUGAACCCCGGGUGGUGGAUGUUGCAGUGAACCGAGAUCAUGUCACCGCACUCCAACCUGGGUGACAGAG
rnacentral:snRNA from 1 species